ACGGAAGGCAGCAGUGAGGAAUAUUGGUCAAUGGGCGGAAGCCUGAACCAGCCAAGUCGCGUGAAGGAAGACGGUAUUAUGUAUUGUAAACUUCUUUAGCAGUAGAGCAAUAAGCGCCACGUGUGGCGUGAUGAGAGUAUACUGAGAAUAAGCAUCGGCUAACUCCGUGCCAGCAGCCGCGGUAAUACGGAGGAUGCGAGCGUUAUCCGGAUUUAUUGGGUUUAAAGGGUGCGCAGGCGGUCAGUUAAGUCAGUGGUCAAAUCGUGAGGCUCAACCUCAUCCCGCCAUUGAUACUGGUUGACUUUAUUGCGGUCGAGGUAGGCGGAAUUCGUCGUGUAGCGGUGAAAUGCAUAGAUAUGACGAAGAACACCGAUUGCGUAGGCAGCUUACCAGGCCGUUAAUGACGCUCAUGCACGAAAGUGCGGGGAUCGAACAGGAUUAGAUACCCUGGUA
rnacentral:rRNA from 1 species